rnacentral:rRNA from 1 species
UAGAGUUUGAUCCUGGCUCAGAUUGAACGCUGGCGGCAGGCCUAACACAUGCAAGUCGAGCGGUAACAGUCCUUCGGGAGCUGACGAGCGGCGGACGGGUGAGUAACGCGUAGGAAUCUACCCAGUAGAGGGGGAUAGCCCGGGGAAACCCGGAUUAAUACCGCAUAAACUCUAUGGAGCAAAGGGGGCUUCGGCUCUCGCUACUGGAUGAGCCUGCGUGGGAUUAGCUAGUUGGUGAGGUAAAGGCUCACCAAGGCGACGAUCUCUAGCUGGUCUGAGAGGAUGAUCAGUCACACUGGAACUGAGACACGGUCCAGACUCCUACGGGAGGCAGCAGUGGGGAAUAUUGCACAAUGGGCGAAAGCCUGAUGCAGCCAUGCCGCGUGUGUGAAGAAGGCCUUAGGGUUGUAAAGCACUUUCAGUGGGGAGGAAGGCAUAUCGGUUAAUACCCGGUAUGAUUGACGUUACCUACAGAAGAAGCACCGGCUAACUCCGUGCCAGCAGCCGCGGUAAUACGGAGGGUGCAAGCGUUAAUCGGAAUUACUG